ensembl:misc_RNA 7SK 7SK RNA
GGAUGUAAGGGCGAUCUGGCUGCGACAUCUGUCAUCCCACUGAUCGCCAGGGUUGAUUCAGCUGCUCUGGCUGGCUAGGCGGGUGUCUCCUUCCUCCCUUGCUGCUCCACGUGCGCCCCUCCUGAAGCUGCAUGCUCAGUGGAAGAGGACGACCAUCCCCGAUAGAAGAGGACUGGUCUUCCGUCAAGGAUAUAGAGUAGCUGCGCUCCCCUGCUAGAACCUCCAAACAAGCUCUCGAUAAUAUCCAGUCUUAAAAAAAGGAUCUCUUAUGUGUGCUUCAGAACAAGUGGAUAAGUACAAUUGAAGAUUCCAUGUAUAAUUUCAAUCAUCUUUUAGUUAAAAAAAAAACAAUUUAA